UCCUGUUGAGAACUUUGGCUGAGGGUAUUUUAUACCCAACACUAGUCCCCCUACUUCUGAGUUUGAAUUUUGAAUGAAGGAAGUACAGUAAGAUUGGCACAGCCGAAGUUAUGCCCUCGAACCCUGUGCAAGACCGCCUCCAGAUAGUUUGGCAUUAAAUGUGCACGUGCUGGGGUCUUUUCGAUUCGGGGCGAUACGAAAGGACUCU
rnacentral:lncRNA from 1 species